rnacentral:rRNA from 1 species
CGAUGAUCUCCAGCUUGCUGGGGUGAUUAGUGGCGAACGGGUGAGUAACACGUGAGUAACCUGCCCUUGACUCUGGGAUAAGCCUGGGAAACUGGGUCUAAUACCGGAUAUGACCUUCCAUCGCAUGGUGGUUGGUGGAAAGCUUUUGUGGUUUUGGAUGGACUCGCGGCCUAUCAGCUUGUUGGUGGGGUAAUGGCCUACCAAGGCGACGACGGGUAGCCGGCCUGAGAGGGUGACCGGCCACACUGGGACUGAGACACGGCCCAGACUCCUACGGGAGGCAGCAGUGGGGAAUAUUGCACAAUGGGCGCAAGCCUGAUGCAGCGACGCCGCGUGAGGGAUGACGGCCUUCGGGUUGUAAACCUCUUUCAGUAGGGAAGAAGCGUAAGUGACGGUACCUGCAGAAGAAGCGCCGGCUAACUACGUGCCAGCAGCCGCGGUAAUACGUAGGGCGCAAGCGUUAUCCGGAAUUAUUGGGCGUAAAGAGCUCGUAGGCGGUUUGUCGCGUCUGCCGUGAAAGUCCGGGGCUCAACUCCGGAUCUGCGGUGGGUACGGGCAGACUAGAGUGAUGUAGGGGAGACUGGAAUUCCUGGUGUAGCGGUGAAAUGCGCAGAUAUCAGGAGGAACACCGAUGGCGAAGGCAGGUCUCUGGGCAUUAACUGACGCUGAGGAGCGAAAGCAUGGGGAGCGAACAGGAUUAGAUACCCUGGUAGUCCAUGCCGUAAACGUUGGGCACUAGGUGUGGGGGACAUUCCACGUUUUCCGCGCCGUAGCUAACGCAUUAAGUGCCCCGCCUGGGGAGUAC